GGAGGUAGAUAUACCCUGAAAGGCACCAGAUCCUGUCUGAUCUUGGAAGCUAAGUAGUGUCAGCCUGGUUAAUACCUGGAUGGGGGACUACCAGUGAAUAGUGUGUGCUGUAGCCU
rnacentral:rRNA from 1 species